rnacentral:lncRNA from 10 species
UGCCUGGAGUGAAGAUUCUGCCCAUUGGUCAAGAGACCUCCCUCUCAGAUGCUGGCUCUGCCCCUGCCUUUGGGGGUCGACCCUUGUACUCGCAGGACCUUAGGUGACUCUAUUCUACUUCUCUGAUCAUCCAGGAAGCCAACCUGCCUGAGGACGAGUCAUACUCUGUCCUCCCACCCCAGGCCAGAGAGUGGUAUCUGUCUUUCCACAAGUUGAGCUGGCCAUAAAGACAUUCUCUGACCUACUCUGUUUGAUAGUAGGUCCUCAGAUCCGCAUUCCAAAGGGAUCCUGUCCCAUACUUGGGAGCAAGAAAUGCCACACAGAGAGGCCAUGAAGAACUCAAACAGAGAGGCCUUGCUGGGUCCUUCUUUCAGUCUAUGACUCUUAGAUUACAGCCUUUUGUCCCAUCACACUUCUGCAUUCUGCACAGCCUUUGUGAAUUCUAAGUAUGCAAGUGGCCAGUUUCUUUGGAUAUCUGAGUCUUCAUUUAUGAAGACUCCAGUGUCAGGGAUCUGAAUGAUGCAGUGUCGCAAUCCCAUUUUAUAAAUGAGGCAACCAAAACUCGAACAGGACCAUAUUGCGACUGAAACAAGGCAUAACAGGUCUUUGACUGGCUAUCCUGUGGAUGUGGACUCAGGCUAGCCUGCGCAAAGUGAAAGACAGGCAAUUAGAUUGAAAAAUACCUGUGAUUCAAAGAAGUCACAAGUCACAGAGACAAACUUUUCCCAGUGUGUUCGAGUCAGAGAACCUUUGCAAAGACCAACAGGCUAAAAGAGAAAAUACAAUGUCAUGACACAGCUAGAAUAUGUUUCCAAGCCUCCCCAACACGUGUGACUGUGUAUAAUUGAGUUCUAACCACAGGAAGCUUGAUGCAGAUGAGCAGGUAACCAUGGAAGUCGUGAGCUGAGGCUGCAGAGUCUAGAGCCAGAGUGUGGAAUAAACUUGGGUCUCAAAUCACCCCUGGAGCAAAGCACCCAUCUAAUCAGGAACUUCUACUUUCAACUUUACAUGCGUGAGAAAUGAACUUCUA